rnacentral:rRNA from 1 species
GGCUCAGGACGAACGCUGGCGGCGUGCCUAAUACAUGCAAGUCGAACGAACUCUGGUAUUGAUUGGUGCUUGCAUCAUGAUUUACAUUUGAGUGAGUGGCGAACUGGUGAGUAACACGUGGGAAACCUGCCCAGAAGCGGGGGAUAACACCUGGAAACAGAUGCUAAUACCGCAUAACAACUUGGACCGCAUGGUCCGAGCUUGAAAGAUGGCUUCGGCUAUCACUUUUGGAUGGUCCCGCGGCGUAUUAGCUAGAUGGUGGGGUAACGGCUCACCAUGGCAAUGAUACGUAGCCGACCUGAGAGGGUAAUCGGCCACAUUGGGACUGAGACACGGCCCAAACUCCUACGGGAGGCAGCAGUAGGGAAUCUUCCACAAUGGACGAAAGUCUGAUGGAGCAACGCCGCGUGAGUGAAGAAGGGUUUCGGCUCGUAAAACUCUGUUGUUAAAGAAGAACAUAUCUGAGAGUAACUGUUCAGGUAUUGACGGUAUUUAACCAGAAAGCCACGGCUAACUACGUGCCAGCAGCCGCGGUAAUACGUAGGUGGCAAGCGUUGUCCGGAUUUAUUGGGCGUAAAGCGAGCGCAGGCGGUUUUUUAAGUCUGAUGUGAAAGCCUUCGGCUCAACCGAAGAAGUGCAUCGGAAACUGGGAAACUUGAGUGCAGAAGAGGACAGUGGAACUCCAUGUGUAGCGGUGAAAUGCGUAGAUAUAUGGAAGAACACCAGUGGCGAAGGCGGCUGUCUGGUCUGUAACUGACGCUGAGGCUCGAAAGUAUGGGUAGCAAACAGGAUUAGAUACCCUGGUAGUCCAUACCGUAAACGAUGAAUGCUAAGUGUUGGAGGGUUUCCGCCCUUCAGUGCUGCAGCUAACGCAUUAAGCAUUCCGCCUGGGGAGUACGGCCGCAAGGCUGAAACUCAAAGGAAUUGACGGGGGCCCGCACAAGCGGUGGAGCAUGUGGUUUAAUUCGAAGCUACGCGAAGAACCUUACCAGGUCUUGACAUACUAUGCAAAUCUAAGAGAUUAGACGUUCCCUUCGGGGACAUGGAUACAGGUGGUGCAUGGUUGUCGUCAGCUCGUGUCGUGAGAUGUUGGGUUAAGUCCCGCAACGAGCGCAACCCUUAUUAUCAGUUGCCAGCAUUAAGUUGGGCACUCUGGUGAGACUGCCGGUGACAAACCGGAGGAAGGUGGGGAUGACGUCAAAUCAUCAUGCCCCUUAUGACCUGGGCUACACACGUGCUACAAUGGAUGGUACAACGAGUUGCGAACUCGCGAGAGUAAGCUAAUCUCUUAAAGCCAUUCUCAGUUCGGAUUGUAGGCUGCAACUCGCCUACAUGAAGUCGGAAUCGCUAGUAAUCGCGGAUCAGCAUGCCGCGGUGAAUACGUUCCCGGGCCUUGUACACACCGCCCGUCACACCAUGAGAGUUUGUAACACCCAAAGUCGGUGGGGUAACCUUUUAGGAACCAGCCGCCUAAGGUGGGACAGAUGAUUAGGGUGAAGUCGUAA